GACCCGUUCUAAUAUGGUAUACAGUGAAUCAUAUGCCAAUACAAGUUUCGUAACGUAUCCUAAACCUGCUUCUAAUGUUAUUGUGGGAACUAAGGAAAGAAAUAUUACAGUUACCUGGGAAAGACGCAAAAGUUUUUCCUACAUAGUUUGUUUAACAAAUAUACACAACUGUUCUGAAAAGGAAAACACAAACACACAUACAUUUACGAAUCUGGUAGCUGGAAAAUCAUAUGAUUUAUCUAUCAUUGUACAUUCUCUUGGGAGAAACAGCAGUGAAUAUAGCAAAACUAUAAUACUCCCUCCAUUACCACCAACUAGUGCGACAAAAAAUCUUACAAACAAUAAAUUGUUUAUAGAAUGGUAUAUUGAUAGUACUAUAUCUGUUGCAAGUGAAUGGUAUAUUGAAUAUGUGACUGAGAACAACACUAAAUAUUUUACUGUGCCCAUCAGAAACACAACCUUGGACUUAGAAAGUGGUAAAGAAUAUGGAAUUAAAAUAUGGAGCAAAUCUCUUGGUGUAAAGAGUGAUACCUAUUUAUAUAUAAGUCUUUAUACUGCUCCAGAAGAAGUAGUGAAUAUAACUGUAAAGGAAUCUGUUUCUGAAUUAAUAUUAUUUUGGUCACCUCCUUCACAGUCAAUAAUCACACGCUACAAAGUAGGUUAUUCCGAAUCAUGUUCAAAGAGUCAAGACUGCGUACCCUGUGGGGAUGUAAAACAGAACAAAGGAAGCUCUAAAUUUAACGUGGAUGAUUUUGAAUAUACAAAUGAGACAUCAUAUACAUUCUCAAUCAAACCGGGUUGUUGUUAUCGCACAAUAAUUUGGGCGUUUAACAAAAAUGUAAAAGGGAAACCAACUUAUCACAAAUGUAGAACAACAUCUUUUGAACCACCAGUUGAAAACAAGCCUGAUAACAUACAGUUAACUUCCGCUACCACUAAGUCAUUUACAGUGACUUUAAAACCGAACCCUUUCAAAGAAACCCGUGGACCAAUUAUUAAUUAUAACAUAAUUAUUGCUGUAGACAAAAACACAAAGCAUACUAAUAAAAUGUAUCUUCCCAGCUGGAAACAAUUUAAAGAUGAUGGAGCCAUUAAAGCAUAUCAGAUAUUUAAGAAUUGCAGUAACCUUUACGAGAAGUCAAAUGCUUGCAGUGAUCUCAAAAGUAAAUCAAAACGGAGUUUAGAUGAUACUAUUCAAUAUGGAAUUGGCACUCAAGAUUGUGACAUUGUAGAAGGCUUUUGCAAUGGCUAUUUAAUGCCAGACACUGAAUAUUAUAUUAAAGUCAGAGCCUAUACAUUUGAUACAUUUUCAGACACAAGCUAUUCAUCAGCAAUCAAAACUGCAAAAGAAAAAAUGGAAGGUUAUCUCAUUGCAAUUAUUGUACUAAUAGUUCUACUAAUUAUUGCUGUGAUUGUUGGCAUUAUCCUAUAUGUGGUGAGAAAAAGGAGAACAAAACCCAAGUCAGUUGUUGCAACUGAGAGUCCUUACAUUAUGCAACCCACAAGCCAUCCUGUUAGGGCAUCGGACUUUGAAUCACAUUUUGUACAGAUGUCUGCAGAUUCUGAUUAUCGAUUUGCAGAAGAAUUUGAAAGCAUAAAAGAUGUUGGUAAAUACAAUCAGACAUUGGCUGCACAUUUGUCAAACAAUCGUAUAAAAAAUCGCUUUGUCAACAUCUUACCGUAUGACUUCAGCAGAGUUAAAUUGAGUAAAAGUAGUGAUGAUGAUGAUGAAGGAUCUGAUUACAUAAAUGCUAAUUAUAUUCCAGGAUUCAUUUCUCGCCGUGAAUACAUUGCAACACAAGGACCACUAAGUUCUACACGAGAUGAUUUUUGGCGUAUGGUAUGGGAACAAAAUGUCCACAACAUUGUGAUGUUGGCUAACUGUAUUGAGAAACAUCGUGAAAAGUGUGAUCAUUAUUGGCCAGAUAACGAUGAAACAAGAUGUUAUGGAAAUAUAAAAGUAGAGAAGUUGAAUGAAACUAUAACAUCAGAUUGGACAGUCACAGAGUUUCUAGUGUCAAAUCAAGACCGUGUAACCAGACAUUUACAUCAUUAUCACUUCACGUCAUGGCCAGACUUUGGCGUUCCAAGCAGCCCUCAAUCAACUGUUACAUUUGUCAGGCUUGUGCGUGAUAAGCUGCAAAACAUUGGGCCUCUUGUGGUACACUGCAGUGCUGGAGUAGGUCGAACUGGAACAUUCAUUUCUGUAGAUCGCAGUUUGCAAGACUUGGAAAAGAAUAAUGAAGUUGAUGUUUUGAGUGUUGUUCAUGAAAUGAGGCAGUACCGUUCCUUUAUGGUGCAAACAGAAGAACAGUACAUAUAUAUCCAUCGCUGUAUACUACAUGUAAUAAAAGGAGAUAACAAAGAUAUCUAUGAAAAUGAGACUUACAUGAAUGAAGAUAUAUAUGAAAAUACAAAAGCAGGCCAAGUAAAUAAAGCAUUUUUGUAUGAUAACUGAAAUAUUUCCUGCAUAUUUAGUGUGAUCAAGAGGGAUGAGUAG